GAGGUUCUAGCUUAAUUAAAGCAUUUGAGUUGCAUUCAGAAGAUGAAGGUUAAUGUCCUUCGGGCCUUA
rnacentral:tRNA from 2 species